UACGGAGGGUGCAAGCGUUAUCCGGAUUCACUGGGUUUAAAGGGUGCGUAGGUGGGCAGGUAAGUCAGUGGUGAAAUCUCAGGGCUUAACCCGGAAACUGCCAUUGAUACUAUCUGUCUUGAAUACCGUGGAGGUGAGCGGAAUAUGUCAUGUAGCGGUGAAAUGCUUAGAUAUGACAUAGAACACCAAUUGCGAAGGCAGCUCACUGCACGAAUAUCGACACUGAGGCACGAAAGCGUGGGGAUCAAACAGG
rnacentral:rRNA from 1 species